UUGAAGUUGACAUCCUAAGUUUGAAUAGAAGGUUUGGCUGACGACCUAAGUUCAAGUUAGGAGGUCUUAAGUUGACAUCCUAAGUUUGGACAAAAGGUUUGGCUGACAAUCUAAGUUCAAGUUAGGAGGUCCUAAGUUGACAUCCUAAGUUUGGACAAAAAGUUUGGAUGACAACCUAAGUUCAAGAUAGGAGGUCCUAAGUUGACAUCCUAAGUUUCAAAAGCGGAUGACCUAAGUUUCGAGAGUUGAAGACCUAAGGUUGAACAGAAG
rnacentral:lncRNA from 1 species